rnacentral:lncRNA from 1 species
AUGCACUUUUCUUAAUUCAUAAUUAUCUUAAAUUAACUAAUUAUUAAACCUAUUUAUCUUAAUUACCUCUUAAUUAAUCACUAAUGACAGUAAUUAAGCAUUAAGGCCAAACAAUAAUUAAAUGCCAAAGGUCAUUAGGGUUAAUGACCUCAGGUCAUCACACAAUCCCAAAGUCACUCAAACCCUAAUCAUGAGGAUUUAACUAAUCAUUGUUUAAUUAUUUUGGAAUUAUCAUUUACUUACUAAAUAAGGGUUUAAUAAUAUUUCAUUCAAACAUUAUCCAAAUGCCACUAAAUCUUGUGUGAAGCCUGGAAACAAAUAAAUUAUUAAAAAUUCCUAGAAGUUUUAUUCACUAAUUAAGAGUCAAAUUUUUAUAGACAUGCAAACUACCAGGGAAAUAAUACCUAGUAUUUUUCUUAUGCCCUAACCAUUUUAUGGAAGCUAUACAAAAAUUCUCAUGAUUUUUGGAUCAACACAAAAUUUACUAUUCAAAUUCAAAUAUCAACAUUUUUAAACAAAAAGGAAAAAAAAAGAAAAAGGGCACUGUGCGCUGGGGGCCUGCUUGGACGCAGCCCACUCUGGCCCGAGCGCUUCCCGCGCCCAGCGCCCUCUCCCUCUCUCUCUCACGCGGUCGCUGACGGGCGGGUCCCGCCCGUCAGCUCCGUCUCCUUCCUAGCGCCGCGGCUCCGGCGAGCUCCAGCAUGCCGUUGGCGAGCUCUCGGCCUCCGCGGUGAGACGCGUUAGCUUCCUCAACCUCCCGCGCACCCAGAGACACCCUUUUCACCCACUCUCCUCUAUCCUAACCCCCGUGGCCACGGGCACGGCGGACGUCCGCCUCGACCGAGCAAACGUCGGCCACUACAAGCGAGU